rnacentral:rRNA from 1 species
GUGCCUAAUACAUGCAAGUCGAACGCACUCUCGUUUAGAUUGAAGGAGCUUGCUCCUGAUUGAUAAACAUUUGAGUGAGUGGCGGACGGGUGAGUAACACGUGGGUAACCUGCCCUAAAGUGGGGGAUAACAUUUGGAAACAGAUGCUAAUACCGCAUAAAACCUAACACCGCAUGGUGUAGGUUGAAAGAUGGUUUCGGCUAUCACUUUAGGAUGGACCCGCGGUGCAUUAGUUAGUUGGUGAGGUAAAGGCUCACCAAGACCGUGAUGCAUAGCCGACCUGAGAGGGUAAUCGGCCACACUGGGACUGAGACACGGCCCAGACUCCUACGGGAGGCAGCAGUAGGGAAUCUUCCACAAUGGACGAAAGUCUGAUGGAGCAACGCCGCGUGAGUGAAGAAGGUUUUCGGAUCGUAAAACUCUGUUGUUGGAGAAGAAUGUAUCUGAUAGUAACUGAUCAGGUAGUGACGGUAUCCAACCAGAAAGCCACGGCUAACUACGUG